CUCUUCUCUUCUCUUCUCUUCUCUUCUCUUCUCUUCUCUUCUCUUCUCUUCUCUCCUUUUUCUGAUGAAGAAGAUAUGGGCAGAAAGAUACUAGCUUCAAUGUAGGCUGAAGAAAGGAUGCUGAUGUGUUUGGUCAUUUAUUUCAAAGGCCAGGAGCAUACUGUGAACAAUGUCCUGCAUGUAGAUCUUUGCAGUGUGGUGGUGUCUUUUGUUCUUGAGGUCAGCACUCAGGGUAAGUUGAAGAGGGCUCUCUCAAAUCCUUUCUGCUGCUGCUUGAGUGGAGAAGUCAAGUAUUCCCUGUGGUUCUGUGUGUUGGAAGCUUGUCCGCUGAAGUAGUGAUUCUGUGAGAAGCCUCUAAGAUCUAAGACUUAGUACAAGGUAAAGACAUCGUUUAGGAUGCUACUGUGAGAAGGGACUACUGCAGUUCUCAGGGGACCCUGGUCAGUUUCUAAGAGGUUUGGCUGUUACAAAGAGUAACACUGCUCUCUGCUGCCCUCUGACUUUCUGUCUUACAGUGUGAUUGCCAUUGUGAAGCAGCCAAGAGGGUCCUUACCAGAGUCAUGGGGAUGUCUGUGUUUCACUCCAGAACUUCCAGAACUAUGGGCUACAUAAACCUCCCCUCUUUAAAUGCCAUCUAGCAUUGGGGUAUUCUGUUAUAGUGACAGAAAGCAGCUUAAUCCAGAGACAAAUGCUUUUAAUGAAAGUAAAAGUUGUCCUAAAAGUGUUAUUUAUAGAAUAGAGAGCUGCUGAAAAUGCUGUUAUGUCUGCCUUUGCAGAUGAAGUGUAUAAGUCUACCUUUCUCUUCCUGAGACUCCUAUGCCAAAGCCUCAGUUGGCAUUUAUUCAAAGAGCAACAAGCCCAGGAUCGAGAGAGCUACAAGUCAGAAGGGAACCAGCUACCAGCCAGCAGUCUGUUCACUCACUCACUGGGCCAGACAGAAUCACCACCGAGCCAACCACUUCUAAUUGGCGGCUGAGGUACUCUCUGGCUUUUUACCAUCACCUGCUCUGCAGGUAGCCUUGGCAGCUAUGUCUGAAGGUGAGCACAGCAGCCAAACACAACACAGCUUUCAGAGAGGAAAUUAAACCACAGAGUUGAGUCGGAAUUAGAGAUAUUCCUCUGUCAUAGCUUCACUUAAUUGGAAAGAUUUCUAGAGAAAGGAGAGUUUGCACCCAGCUUCCAUUUACUGCCUUCAAGUGGGGCAAGGUAAGAGCUGACCUGGAAAGACUGGUUGAAAGCAAGGGGCCCAUGAAGGUCCCUUCCUUCUCAUAGAUCUUCAUUUUCUACAGCAGUAAAAACAAUGAUACCUCAGUGUGAGUACCCAUUCUCUGUUCCCAUAAUUAGAAACCUAAGCUGUAGAAUGAUUGGCUAGAAAUGGAAGAGUAUUAAUUAUAAAUACCACACAGCAGUACUAUCACAUGGUCUACCCACAGGGGCUCUUGAUUCGCAGAUGCUGUUUAGACAGUCUGUUUCCAGACUAACAUUAGUGAGGAAGAGAGUCCAGCUUUAUUCACAGGCUUGAUGAAACAGAGCUUCUAGAAAGGGGAAUAUAUUAAAUGAGUAUUCAUUAAUGUUUCUUCAGAAGUAACAAACUCUAUUUUCUAGAACAUGUCAAUGAAUUCUUCAAAGAUUACAGUAGUCAAUUGCUUUGAACUAUUCUCUCUCUCCUUUUUCUUCUCUCUCUACAUAUGUAUGUGUUAUACACACACACACAGACACACACACACACAUCAAUUUUGUCUUAAGACUGAAAUCUUAAGUAGCAGAUUACACUGUCCUCUUAUUCUCCUGUGACCACUAAGUCUAGUGGCAUUUCACAGAUAGUUGUAAAGAUUUGUAAGAAGAUGAUCAUGUUGCACUUAACUUCCUAUUAUUUUUAAGGUCUAGGAUUCUGGAAAUUCUUCAAAAACAAAAAUUCCAAUAAACACCUCCAAAUUUCAUGAUGUUAGCAAGUAGCCAAGGGGCUAUUCUUUCUAAUGGUGAUUUUACAAGCUAAGAACCUGAGACACAAAAUAUGGGUGACUUUUCUAAGAAAGCACAAUGACUUUUUUGCCCCAGGGGGCUGACGUCUUGGCUCACCACAGUUCAAUCCCAAGUCCAAAGACUUUCCAGAAAGCUUUUAACUGCUGUGCCUGACAACUAUUGUGUCCUAUCCUCUCAUUUCGCAGAUGUACAUGAAGCUCCUUGAUGAACCGUCUUCGGAGCACUCUGCCAAUGUGAAGGCCAAAGCAACAGGAGAUACAAUGUCAUUCACCAGUCUUCAAGCUUUAUGUUACUAUGGCACUGACAAUUUUUUCUGCAGGCUCUUGAUUCUGGGGUCUAAGCACAUGCUGUGCACAGAGAGGAAGGCAGAGGACACCAUUAAACACUAACCUGAAAAUACUCAUUACAAUAACUUUCCUCAAUGUAAUGAAGAUUCCAGGAAGAUAUGAAACCUUACUGAGCUACUCUCUUCUAUUCAGAUGUGCCCAUGGAGAGGAGGAUGGGCUGGCCUUGAACUCAUGUCAAUUCUCCUGCAUCAACUUCUUAGUGCUCAGAGUAUAAGUGUGAGCAACUACUUCAACUCACGUUAAUCUCAACAUGGUAUUUCAAUCUACUAAUAGCCAAUUGAAAGAAACAACGAGGGAUCAUGCGAGAUUCCAAUGGACAGAUGGAUCCAGCUGGUUACCAAUGUCACCUCAUCUUUGCCAUUUCACACAUUGCUGCCCAACUAGGAAGAAUAAUAUCUCAGAGUACCCUGUCUGGCACCCCAGAGACAGACCCUGACUAGAAACCAGCAUCACAGGUUCAUUUAGUCAAGGGUGGCAUUCACUAUGGAUCUGAGUUCAUUCUGGCCCUGGUUAGAUCCUGUAAGUAUCUUAUUGGCUAGGGAGUACUGAUCUAGCAGUAUGACCCUUUCUGCCCUUAGAUCUCAAUGUUGGACUCUUCUUUCACUCUUGUCCUCAUGUCUUUGCGUAUAUUUUAGAUUUCCUGAUGGUUGUUUUGCCUGCUUCAUCGAGAUCUUAGUUUACUCCUUGAAUCCCUUAGGGAUUGAAGUUCUGAAUUUUGCCAUCUGGUCUUUCAGACUAGGACUCUCUGGGUCAUCAUGUAACCUUCUGAUUUUAUAUUGUAAUGUAGAUUUAUACCUUACAAACUGACCUUGGACCUUCCUAAAGAGUAUGGGCUUUCAGACUAACCUCUGGUUUUGCAAUAUUCUAUUGAAUGUCAGUCUCUUCAAACAUUUACUUUUGAACAUGGUUAGUCCUCCUGCUUCUGAAUCUCCCCCUAAUCCUCUGCUCACAUGGCUUACGGUUCUACUGGCCUGAUCUACCUUCCACUGAGACUUGACCACAGUUAGUUCUCCAUCACAAGCUCACACUUCAAUAAUAUACAAGAACAUUAGGCUUUCUUCUACUUUGUAAAUACUGUUUAGAUACUAGCUUAUAUUUAGAGACUUCAGGAAAAAAAUAAACUUCUUUAGAAAACCAAUUCUUUUGAUAAGAUACAGUUUUGAGUGUCGAUAUGGCAAAAGCAGAAGCUAUAGCUCAAAGGAAAAAAGAUGAAGAGAGGGAGUCACUUUCUCUGCAGGCAGGUAAAUUAAAUAUUUAAGCAAACUCCACAGCAAAGCUGGAUGAUUUUCAAGUGAGCAGCUCUGUGAAAAGAAGCUUGGGUAACUGCCGAUGUUACCUACUGCAAAGGUUAAUUGCAUAUCAUCAUCUUGUUUAUCAUCAUAAUUUUUGGUUAAUGUAUCUCUUCCUUAAUUAUACAGCCCAUGUCCAUUGCUUGUGGAAUAAUUACAGCCUCACAUGAUUUUUCUGGAGGAACCAUGACUUGAGCUAAAGCUAGAUCAGUCCUAUCUUUCUGCCAGUAAUUGGAAGCUUUUCCCCUCAGUAGCACACAAAUCAUCAUAAACAAAUAUAGAUGAAUGCCCAACAUAAAAAAGUCUGUGAAAGGUAUAAUUUGGGCCAAUACAAGAGCAAUACAAUAUCCUCAGAACUUAGCACACGUUGCUUAAGGUGCACAGAGCCAUGUGGUUGUGGCCUGGGCUCAGUUCUCAGGCUUUUACACACAGAGAAAACAUGUGGCUAUUUUCAGUGGGUUGCAUCUGUUGUCAUUUGAAUAUGAAAUGUCCCCAUAGGCUCAGGUAUUGAAUUCUUGGUCCCCAGCUGGUGGCACUAUUUUGGGAGAAUUGGAACACAUUAGGAACUAAGGCCUUGCUAGAGUAUGUAGGUUACCAGAGAUAGUUUGAAUUUCUAAGCCUAGUGCCCAAUCCCUUCCUUUCUCAACACACUGUCAACUGUGAGGUGAAGGGUCUUCUGCCCUACAAGCACCAGCCACCAUGAUGUGCUGUCAAAUGAUGCUUGAGAUCUCUGGAACUAUGAGCAAAGCAAAUCUCUCUCCCUUUCUCUGCUUUCAUCCUAGCCACACCAAUUAAUCUAACCCUAUUAAUGCUUUGGUACUAGCGAUACCAAUUUAUGUAAUGCAGCAGCCCUAUUAAUUUCCAUAGUGAGAAUGAGAACUAACCACAGCCCUAGUUCUCAGAGUAGUCAUUAAGCAGCACUUAGUUUAUGUUAUUUAGUUAAGCCUUAACAGGAAUUCUCCUACUAAUCCUCACAGUGCUCUCAGAAGGUAGGUUCCGCCAUCUCCGUUUCACCCAGCACAGAACUAACAGCUCAAAAGGAAACUUGUCAGUAGCUGAUGAGAGUGGCAAGCAUUUAGAGAGCACAGCUAUAUCCCCACUGCAUUAAACCUUCUGCUAUUUCCUUAGUAGUAAUAGGUAGGACUUCCUCAAUGUGUAGGGACAUUGUUUUUCCCUCUGUUACAAACAACAGCACUCAGGUCUUCCUCUCUCAGAGCUCCAGUUGCAUACUUUAGAUGAUUGCCCAAAGAGGCCCUUUUUACUAAGCACAAAAGGAGAAGUCCAUCUUAAUAAACAGAACCCUUGAACACUAUUGGUGUCCCUUGGGGCAUAGAUCGUAGAGAAAGUAUGGAGGUUUACAGGUAGGCAUGUAGGUAUGUGUCCUGACCCUGCUGGGAAAUGGUCCUUACUGUUUUCUGGGUUGUCCCAUGACACCAGUUGGAGGGCUGCUUUGCAGCUGCAUCUGAAGGAGUGAGCAAUAUCUGGCUUUGUGAGCCUGGUGCUCUCAGAGUUUCAAGGGCUCCCUGUGUCUCUGAGGGCUACUUGCCACAGGUAAUAUGUCUCAGGUUGAGAGUUGGCUGGCAUUAAGUAAAGGUAACUCUUUACAUAUUGGGUUAAAAGAGAAAAAUUGCUCUUUUUCAGCUUUAGUUUUACUCAGGCUGGAGCACCACUUGUAAGGAAGGCCAUUCAGGCCGUGCUUGAGAUCUGCACGGUGGAAACUUCCCUAUUUAAGGAGAAGUGUAAGCACCCGGGUCACGUUUUCAUGAGGAGAAAGCAGCCUAGAAUGUGUGGUCAGCGGUGCCAACCCUGGAAGCACACCGUGUCAAAGCUAAAAUUCAAAGCGAGGCUUGAGAGCCUCCAGCCACUCAGGAACAAGCUAUGUCUAAUGUCCUUGACAACAGAAUGGGGCCCAAAUUCAGAGGCAGGUGUGCUCGAUCUUUCCAAGCUGAUUUGUUUUCUGCUUCCACCAACUGCUCUCUUCCCCACUUUUGCAAGGGCUCUAGUCUUCGAGAACUCUCUGCUUUUCCUUUCCUUUCUCUCCAGGCCUAAGCUUAGCGUUCACCUCAGAGAAACCUUCCUAGUUCUAUGCUUCCGUUUUGGCCCACAUUUUCCCCAGCAGCACAUAUAGCAGGGUUUACUGUUUGUUCCUCUGUCUUCCUAGAUACAUAGAGUAGAGAGAAAUUACAGUCAAUUUUUUUUUCUUUUCUAGAAUUCAACACGUAGGACGUAUUUAACCAGGGUCCAACUGAUGCUAAAUUAGGCUCUUUAAUUGCUGUAGGACAUGAACAGUAUCCAGUAGACAUAGCCACCUACCUAAUUAAUUCUCAGUAAAUCUUUUAAUUUGAGGAAAUAUUGCUAGUUUGUCUUUUUAUGGUUCUUAACAUUUUGAAAGAAUGAAGAAACUAAGACAGUUCAAUUGGGGGAAAGAACAAUCUUUCCAACAAACAGUGCUGGAACUAUUUGAUAGCAUGUCAUAUCCACAUGGUAAAAAUUAGUUGGAUCCCCUUUUUGUAUCAUGCACAAAAAGCAACUCUAAUAGAUCAAACGAUAAAUGAAAGAGCUAAUAUAAAUUUUUAAGAAGACAAGCGUAAACCUUUUUGACUUUCUUCACCAACAGCUUCUUAGAUGUGAUGCCAAAACUCACAAACAACUAAAGAAAAAAUGGAUUAGCUUUUAUGCUACAAAUAAUACAGGGACAAAAAUAUUUGCAAUUCCUAUUUCCACCAAGGGAUUUACGACCAGAAUUUUAAAAGAGCUCUUAUAAUCGAAUCAUAAAAAUUAAAUAGCCCACCCAAUGUACAAUGCACCGAACUGACAUUUCUACAGAGAAGACAGGCAAGUAGCUGAUAAACAUAAUCAGCAGAUGCUCAUGAUCAUUAGCAAUUAGGGAGAAGCACAUAAAAAUGAUAGUGAGGCAGUGUUUCAUGUGCAUGGGGAUGCUGACAAUAAACAAGUAUUAAUAAAGACGUGGAAAACCUGAAAUCAUUCUUUCUGGUAGAGGUAUAUGAUGGUGUUACCACUUCAGAACACAGCUGUCAAUCUGUCCAGGUGCUAAACAUAGAUUUACCCUAUCAUCUAACAAUUCUACUCUUAGUGAAAUAGAAGCACAUGUUCAAUUAGAUCUUAUUCAUGGAUGUUCACAGAAGUAUUAUUCAUAAUAGUCUCAAAGCAGAAACCCAAAUGCCCACAGGUAAAACUGGAUAAAUUUAAGUGCAGAACUGGUACAUGUUAUACUGUAGAUGAACCUUGGAGACCUUAAGCUAAGUGAAAGAAACCAAAGCCUACACAUUACAUGAUUGCAUUAAUAUGAAGCAGAGGCCUAGAGUAGGCUCUGGGUGCUUACAGUGUGUGUGGGGCACAGAAAGGAAUGGAUGUUAUGUAUCCCUUUUGCUCUGUAGGUUUUUUUUUAAUGAAAUGAUGGAAAUGUAGGCUUAAUUGUAUCCACAGAUGCACAAAUCAAUGACUGUAACAAAACCCUAAACUAUACAAUACAUAGGCAAAUUUUAUACCAUACAAAUUGUAUCUCAAUUCAGCAAUUAUACAUAUGAGAGCAGCCCCUAGUCAUUAGACAAGGGUGGUCCAGUUGCAAGUUCUCUUAAUGAACAUGGUUUAAGAAAAGAAAUUUUGUGGGAACAAAACACCCAUUGAAGGAGUUACAGAGACAAAAUUUGGAGCUGUGACGAAAGGAUGGACCAUCUAGUGAUUGCCAUAUGCAGGGAUCCAUCCCAUAAUCAGCUCCCAAACGCUGACACCAUUGCACACACUAGCAAGAUUUUGCUGAAAGGACCCAGAUAUAGCUGUCUCUUGUGAGACUAUGCCAGGGCCUAGCAAACACAGAAGUGGAUGAUCACAGUCAGCUAUUGGAUGGGUCACACGGCCCCCAAUGGAGGAGCUAGAGAAAUUACUCAAGGAGCUAAAGGGAACUGCAACCCUAUAGGUGGAACAACAUUAUGAACUAACCAAUACCCCGGAGCUCUUGACUCUAGCUGCAUAUGUAUCAAAAGAUGGCCUAGUCGGCCAUCACUGCAAAGAGAGGCCUAUUGGACUUGCAAACUGUAUAUGCCCCAGUACAGGGGAACCCCAGGGCCAAAACGGGGGAGUGGGUGGGUAGUGGAUUGGGGGGGUGGGUAUGGCGGACUUUUGGGAUAGCAUUGAAAAUGUAAACGAGGAAAAUACCUAAUAAAAAUAAAAUAAAAUUAAAAAAAAAAAGAAAAGAAAAGAAAUUUCGGACUAGCUAAUUAGAAAGAAGGGUCCCAUAAGCUCUUUCCUGGUCCAUGAUUGGCUAUUAACAGGUCUUGUCUUAUGCAUGACCAGUGAAGGCUACUUCAGCUGCUGUAAGAUGGUAUUUUGCUCUCCCCUAAGGAUAGCAUUUUCCAUCUUCUCUGACAUUCUUCUUACACUAUUUCUGUGACGUUUCAUAAACCGCACAGGCAUACUAUAAACACCUUGUUUAAAGCACCAAAGUCAUUGUCUUCAGUUGUAUACACAAGAGUGAGCCCUUCAGGCCCCAUGCAUAGUCCUAAUCUUGUUUUCACACAGAUGGUUAGAAUCAAUAGACCACAGAUAAAGCAAGAAGACGUGAAUGUGAGAAGAAGGGACUUGAAGGGAAGAGGGGGUAAUGACAGGGGACAAGACAGGUUGGAGGCAUUGUGUGACAAAACAUUUUCUGGGGCGAUGCAACACACAUGUCUAUUCAACCCAGCAGAGAGCCCAUGACAAAGCAGAGAACAGAUCUCACUGAAGUCCAACUUGGUGACCCAAAAAGUUUUGUUAGAGUUACUCACAGAAGCAAAACUCACUCAAAGACAGCUGCAUCAUGAAAGCCCACCCCAGCAUGAGUAGUAUCUCACAAAGCUGGAAACCUGGAGCACACUGCACAGCCUGCAGGCAGCUCAGCAGUGGGGAGAGUUUUCCUGGUGUCCCAGUUCCUUUCCACCUCUGCCAAGCAGCUGGUCUGGUAUCAGUUUUAGUUGCAACUUUGCUUGUCUCAGAGUCUUCUUUGCAGCUCAGAUUCCUUCAUUCUGAGGG